rnacentral:rRNA from 1 species
UACAGAGGUCCCGAGCGUUGUUCGGAUUCACUGGGCGUAAAGGGUGCGUAGGUGGCUUGACAAGUUUGAUGUGAAAUCUCCGGGCUUAACCCGGAAAAUGCAUUGAAUACUGUAGAGGCUUGAGGUUUGGAGGGGGGACUGGAAUUCUCGGUGUAGCAGUGAAAUGCGUAGAUAUCGAGAGGAACACCAGUGGCGAAGGCGAGUCCCUGGACAACACCUGACACUGAGGCACGAAAGCCGGGGAGCAAACAGG